rnacentral:rRNA from 1 species
CCUACGGGUGGCUGCAGUAGGGAAUAUUGCUCAAUGGGGGAAACCCUGAAGCAGCAACGCCGCGUGGAGGAUGAAGGUUUUCGGAUUGUAAACUCCUUUUGUUAGAGAAGAUAAUGACGGUACCCACAGAGGAAGCACCGGCUAACUCCGUGCCAGCAGCCGCGGUAAUACGGAGGGUGCAAGCGUUGUCCGGAAUCAUUGGGCGUAAAGAGUUCGUAGGCGGCAUGUAAAGUCAGGUGUUAAAGGCGCAGGCUCAACCUGUGUAUGGCACUUGAUACUUGCAAGCUGGAAUGCGGUAGAGGUAAAGGGAAUUCCUGGUGUAGCGGUGAAAUGCUUAGAUAUCAGGAGGAACAUCGGUGGCGUAAGCGCUUUACUGGGCCGUAAUUGACGCUGAGGAACGAAAGCCAGGGUAGCAAAUGGGAUUAGAUACCCCAGUAGUC